CCAGACUCCUACGGGAGGCAGCAGUGAGGAAUAUUGGUCAAUGGGCGCGAGCCUGAACCAGCCAAGUCGCGUGAGGGAUGACGGCCCUACGGGUUGUAAACCUCUUUUGUCGGGGAGCAAAUUCCGUUACGUGUAACGGAGUCGAGAGUACCCGAAGAAAAAGCAUCGGCUAACUCCGUGCCAGCAGCCGCGGUAAUACGGAGGAUGCGAGCGUUAUCCGGAUUUAUUGGGUUUAAAGGGUGCGCAGGCGGCACGGCAAGCCGGCGGUCAAAUCGCGGGGCUCAACCCCGCCCAGCCGUCGGAACUGCCGGGCUAGAGUGGGCGAGAAGUGCGCGGAAUGCGUGGUGUAGCGGUGAAAUGCAUAGAUAUCACGCAGAACUCCGAUUGCGAAGGCAGCGCACCGGCGCCCUACUGACGCUCAGGCACGAAAGCGUGGGUAUCGAACAGGAUUAGAUACCCCAGUAC
rnacentral:rRNA from 1 species